GUGACUGCGUACCUUUUGUAUAAUGGGUCAGCGACUUAUAUUCUGUAGCAAGGUUAACCGAAUAGGGGAGCCGAAGGGAAACCGAGUCUUAACUGGGCGUUAAGUUGCAGGGUAUAGACCCGAAACCCGGUGAUCUAGCCAUGGGCAGGUUGAAGGUUGGGUAACACUAACUGGAGGACCGAACCGACUAAUGUUGAAAAAUUAGCGGAUGACUUGUGGCUGGGGGUGAAAGGCCAAUCAAACCGGGAGAUAGCUGGUUCUCCCCGAAAGCUAUUUAGGUAGCGCCUCGUGAAUUCAUCUCCGGGGGUAGAGCACUGUUUCGGCAAGGGGGUCAUCCCGACUUACCAACCCGAUGCAAACUGCGAAUACCGGAGAAUGUUAUUACGGGAGACACACGGCGGGUGCUAACGUCCGUCGUGAAGAGGGAAACAACCCAGACCGCCAGCUAAGGUCCCAAAGUCAUGGUUAAGUGGGAAACGAUGUGGGAAGGCCCAGACAGCCAGGAUGUUGGCUUAGAAGCAGCCAUCAUUUAAAGAAAGCGUAAUAGCUCACUGGUCGAGUCGGCCUGCGCGGAAGAUGUAACGGGGCUAAACCAUGCACCGAAGCUGCGGCAGCGACACUAUGUGUUGUUGGGUAGGGGAGCGUUCUGUAAGCCUGUGAAGGUGUGCUGUGAGGCAUGCUGGAGGUAUCAGAAGUGCGAAUGCUGACAUAAGUAACGAUAAAGCGGGUGAAAAGCCCGCUCGCCGGAAGACCAAGGGUUCCUGUCCAACGUUAAUCGGGGCAGGGU
rnacentral:rRNA from 1 species